UGCAGUCGAACGCUUCUUUUUCCACCGGAGCUUGCUCCACCGGAAAAAGAGGAGUGGCGAACGGGUGAGUAACACGUGGGUAACCUGCCCAUCAGAAGGGGAUAACACUUGGAAACAGGUGCUAAUACCGUAUAACAAUCAAAACCGCAUGGUUUUGAUUUGAAAGGCGCUUUCGGGUGUCGCUGAUGGAUGGACCCGCGGUGCAUUAGCUAGUUGGUGAGGUAACGGCUCACCAAGGCCACGAUGCAUAGCCGACCUGAGAGGGUGAUCGGCCACAUUGGGACUGAGACACGGCCCAAACUCCUACGGGAGGCAGCAGUAGGGAAUCUUCGGCAAUGGACGAAAGUCUGACCGAGCAACGCCGCGUGAGUGAAGAAGGUUUUCGGAUCGUAAAACUCUGUUGUUAGAGAAGAACAAGGAUGAGAGUAACUGUUCAUCCCUUGACGGUAUCUAACCAGAAAGCCACGGCUAACUACGUGCCAGCAGCCGCGGUAAUACGUAGGUGGCAAGCGUUGUCCGGAUUUAUUGGGCGUAAAGCGAGCGCAGGCGGUUUCUUAAGUCUGAUGUGAAAGCCCCCGGCUCAACCGGGGAGGGUCAUUGGAAACUGGGAGACUUGAGUGCAGAAGAGGAGAGUGGAAUUCCAUGUGUAGCGGUGAAAUGCGUAGAUAUAUGGAGGAACACCAGUGGCGAAGGCGGCUCUCUGGUCUGUAACUGACGCUGAGGCUCGAAAGCGUGGGGAGCAAACAGGAUUAGAUACCCUGGUAGUCCACGCCGUAAACGAUGAGUGCUAAGUGUUGGGAGGGUUUCCGCCCUUCAGUGCUGCAGCUAACGCAUUAAGCACUCCGCCUGGGGAGUACGACCGCAAG
rnacentral:rRNA from 1 species